UGGAGUUCGGCGUCUCGUGACAUUAGCGCCAAUUUUUUCAAAUGGCGUGUCAACUGUCAGGUUUGAUUAUUCAAAGUGUCUCAACAUGUGAAAAUGCAUCUCCAGAGCAUUAAGUUUGGUACAUAUUCGGUUUUUAAGCAUCCUGUGUAAACAGCAAAAUCAUUCCAUCUUGAAAUUUGAAUCGCCCCGAAGGAGACAGGAAGAGAGACGGGCCUAAGGAGCACGGAUCAGGCGGUAAAUGGCUACUCAUCGCGACCAGGAACGAAACUCAUCCAUCCCAAGAGACCCUUAGAGAAGGGUGAGAGAGGCAAGCGGUGAGGAAGGAAGAAUAUGCGCUGCUCUCUCUUCCUUGCAGCUGUGUCACAGCCUUGUAUUCAGAAGAAAAGUCCAGGCAUUUGGGCUGCGGGCACUUGAGGUGGACCGUCUGUCAACGGCCAGCCACCGCCGCCUGAAUAAGUGGACUGAGAGCUGCUUUGUCCCGAUCUGCCCUUCGCACCCAAGCAGACCAAAGGAAUGUCAGGUCUCCGAGGUGAGAUUGCAUGGAUAGCUUCGGCUGAUCACUUGAGGAAGUCCCAUGUGUUAAAGUGAGUCUCGGAGGCACCUUCAAGCAGCUUAGGUGAAUCGCCAUAUUGAUAUACGAUGAAAACUGGGGGCCCGGCAAUCCCUCCUUAAUCCUAUAAUGCAACGCUGUGCCGUGGAUUUUGUUAUCGGCCGGUUCUCCAGUGUCGCUUGGGAGGCGUAUCUGUGUGACCUGACAUGGUGACCACUAUCGCUGACUCGCCUAUUCAACUUGACUCAAGUUGAUUUGCUCGCUUGGAUCUAGAGUUUCCCUUUCUCCCCCUCGCUCUCCCUUUUCCCUCUCCCUCUUCCUCUCUCUCUCUUUCUCUCUCCUGUUUCAAUCUGAGAUCAGACAGCAAUGUUACUACACCACAUCUUGAUUUGUUUGUGUUGUGCUUUUCAAGAACCGCUGAGGAAAUGGAAACAGAGAGCCUGAAAUUAUCUUGCAUUAUUCAAAUGCUUUGCCAACUAGCACAAGCUAUUUUAUCUCUAUUUACUCCAUGACCCGAGAUCAGAAGCUAAGUGGCAUAUGUAUGUCCAUUAGCUGCAGGAUUGAAGCUCCCUCUCACCCACCGCCCUGUUUUCAUAAUUAGCCCUUCCCUGCUAAAUGUCAGAGUCUGCUGCCGCACAUCCAUCCGACGGGCCCUUGGCAGCGUACGCUAACUCCUAAACAACACUGAUAUGGCUAAGUGUUUCAGGAAGCGAGGCCUCGGUUCCAAGGGGUUACGUAAUGGAGCCGGCUCCUUCAUUAAAGGCUUCCUGCUCGCCGUUGAGUGUGCCUCAGGUCCCUUGGCUCCUUGCAUUGCCAUUCAUGCUGCCCACAUGCAAACAAAUAUUAAUUUUACCCCAGCACAAACAAUAACAAAAGCAGAUGUCAGUCAAACACUCUUGAGUGUGGUGGUGACCUGUCGUCUUAGGGAGGAUUGACUGGGCGGGACUUUGAAGGCUGGCUCUACAGAGGCUUGGUUAUGUUUAGGAGGGCGGUAGGCGGACUCUGGGCCUCUUUGUGUUGUGUCCCGUCUCCACCAUUAGAUGGAGUGCUUGCUGUCAGUGGAAAUGAGUCUGUUUUGUGCUCACAUCUCAUGUCAACUGGAUGCAGACAGAGAAACUGAUUAGAUAAUUAGCAUCACCAUUGAUUAUGAUUUAUUAUUCAAAUGAUAAUGCACAGAUACAAUCAUUAGUUGAUAUGUGUGCUGUAAAUGCUUAUUCAUAAGUGUGUUGCAAAUACAGAAAACAACUUGAUUUUGCAGUUUUCUGUAUUUAUUAGUACUUAGAUAUCAAUUAAGCACUUCAGUGUACUGUAUAAUGUUAAUUUUCGAAAAAUUCGUUACAGACAUUCCCUUCAAUCACGUACGAUUGACUAAAAUAAUGCAAGAGAUGUUAAUUAGAAAUUAUGUGUUUUAUAAGUGUCUGUAAGAUUGAAUAUGAACAUGCAGUACAAUAGUUUAUCUUGAUAUCUUGACAAGACACUAUUGCACAAAGUAGCUAAAUACAGCAAAGCUCCAAUUCUUUUUAAAGUUUGGGCUCAGUAUGGUUUCUCCU